CCCCAUACCUCAUCUCAUGCAUCCUUUGUGAUGACAGUAGGAAGCAGGUAUUUCCAUUUCUGUCUCAGAAAUGCAAAGGCUGAGGCUUAGGGAAGAGGAGAUGUGAAAUGUCAGGAUCAGGAUUCAAACCCAGGUCUGCUGGGUUCCAAAGCCUGUGUUUUAAACCCAUAUCUGAGAUUGCUGCUUACUUUAUAAGAAAGAGGUAGCAUUCAGCAAAAGGUCACCAUCUUUUCCUGGGCUCAAUUAUACUUUCUCCAGCCACCAAAACUGAUGUACUCGAUUUGGAAGGCUCUUGAGACAUGACUUGGCCCAAGGUCCCUCAUUUUGUAGGUGGAGAAUCCGAGAUUCUGCCCCACGUCCAUGGUCAUCCAGCUGACCCGUGCAAGUAAGACGUAUGUCUGCAACAGGUCCAACUAGAAUCCACCGAGGAGGUCUCCUUUGUGCCACCAGUAUACCCUGUGCAUGCAGCUCUUAGGACCUCCGGCCGCUGCAUUCAGUGUUAGCUCACAGUUUCCCAAUUUGGAGAGUCAUUGCCGUGCAUUUGUCAACUGGAUUUUUUCUCCGGACGGUGUGCCGACAUAAAGACAAUUCCUGUAUGUUUCAGUCAACAGAUGAUUCAGUUGUUAUUUGAGAAAGAACUAUCCACCCUGGCGCUGAAUGAAAACCUUCUCUUGUCAUUUCAGAAGAGCCGGGAAGCA
rnacentral:lncRNA from 1 species